CCUACGGGUGGCAGCAGUGAGGAAUAUUGGUCAAUGGACGAGAGUCUGAACCAGCCAAGUAGCGUGAAGGAUGACUGCCCUAUGGGUUGUAAACUUCUUUUAUAUGGGAAUAAAAUGUUCCACGUGUGGGAUUUUGUAUGUACCAUAUGAAUAAGGAUCGGCUAACUCCGUGCCAGCAGCCGCGGUAAUACGGAGGAUCCGAGCGUUAUCCGGAUUUAUUGGGUUUAAAGGGAGCGUAGGUGGAUUGUUAAGUCAGUUGUGAAAGUUUGCAGCUCAACCGUAAAAUUGCAGUUGAAACUGGCAGUCUGGAGUAUCGUAGAGGUGGGUGGAAUUCGUGGUGUAGCGGUGAAAUGCUUAGAUAUCACGAGGAAUUCCGAUGGCGAAGGCAGCUCCCUGGACGGAAACUGACACUGAGGUGCGAAAGUGUGGGUAUCAAACAGGAUUAGAUACCCGGGUAGUC
rnacentral:rRNA from 1 species